rnacentral:rRNA from 1 species
AUUGAACGCUGGCGGCAGGCCUAACACAUGCAAGUCGAGCGGAUGAAGGGAGCUUGCUCCUGGAUUCAGCGGCGGACGGGUGAGUAAUGCCUAGGAAUCUGCCUGGUAGUGGGGGAUAACGCCCGGAAACGGGCGCUAAUACCGCAUACGUCCUGAGGGAGAAAGUGGGGGAUCUUCGGACCUCACGCUAUCAGAUGAGCCUAGGUCGGAUUAGCUAGUUGGUGGGGUAAAGGCCUACCAAGGCGACGAUCCGUAACUGGUCUGAGAGGAUGAUCAGUCACACUGGAACUGAGACACGGUCCAGACUCCUACGGUAGGCAGCAGUGGGGAAUAUUGGACAAUGGGCGAAAGCCUGAUCCAGCCAUGCCGCGUGUGUGAAGAAGGUCUUCGGAUUGUAAAGCACUUUAAGUUGGGAGGAAGGGCAGUAAGUUAAUACCUUGCUGUUUUGACGUUACCAACAGAAUAAGCACCGGCUAACUUCGUG